UGGGGAAUAUUGGACAAUGGGCGAAAGCCUGAUCCAGCCAUGCCGCGUGUGUGAAGAAGGUCUUCGGAUUGUAAAGCACUUUAAGUUGGGAGGAAGGGCAGUAAGCGAAUACCUUGCUGUUUUGACGUUACCGACAGAAUAAGCACCGGCUAACUCUGUGCCAGCAGCCGCGGUAAUACAGAGGGUGCAAGCGUUAAUCGGAAUUACUGGGCGUAAAGCGCGCGUAGGUGGUUCGUUAAGUUGAAUGUGAAAGCCCCGGGCUCAACCUGGAAACUGCAUCGAAAAGUGGCGAGCUAGGGUAGGGCAGAGGGUGGUGGAAUUUACUGUGUAGCGGUGAAAUGCGUAGAUAUAGGAAGGAAAACCAGUGGCGAAGGCGACCACCUGGGCUCAUACUGACACUGAGGUGCGAAAGCGUGGGGAGCAAACAGG
rnacentral:rRNA from 1 species